rnacentral:rRNA from 1 species
AGACCGAUAGCGAACAAGUACCGUGAGGGAAAGAUGAAAAGUACUUUGAAAAGAGAGUUAAACAGUAUGUGAAAUUGCCAAGAGGGAAGCAUUUGGAGUUAGACUGACUUGAAGUUAAUCAGCUUGGUCUUUGGACUGGGUGUACUUGACUUCUAUGUCUGCCAAUAGCAGUUAGUCCUGGUGGAAAAAACUGAAGGGAAGGUAGUCCUUCGGGAUGUUUAUAGACCUUUGGAAAAUACACUGGGAUUGACUGAGGAAUGCAGUAGAUGCUAUUAAGGCUUCGUCUAGUAGGUGUUAGGUGAAGGUACUUGGUAUUUUCAGCUUGCUGAUGUGCUAGGUUACUUGAGCUUAAUUGCUUGCUAGAACUGUAAUCUACUUUGGUUAUUGGCUUAAUGACUCUAAAUGACCCGUCUUGAAACACGGACCAAG